AUUUUUUGCAAUGCAGAUUAUGUGAGGGCUUGCUGAAUGCAUUUCUCAAAAAUUAUCCUUGGUCUCUUCCUGAGUAGUGAUAUCUUAGUACUCCACUCAUGUUCAUUGCCACAGGAGCACACAAGAUUUCUUGACAAAAUCCAGUCACUAUUAUCGGUCCUAGGGAAGUAUCUAGAUGGAGCAGUUUUAAUGAUCAAAGAUGCACAAGAAGCCGCUGCUAGUAAUGACUACUCGGCAGAGUCAGAGAACUACCCAGAUAAUUGGGGUUCACAUUGAUCUUCAGCUGGCAACCCAGACAUACCAUAUGUUCUGGUCUCCAGUCAUCAAUUCCGAAUGCAGUGAGGAGCUUUUGGCUGCUACAGGAAGUCAAUUUUAAAUUCUUUUGUGUUGGAGAAAGAAAUCUGGGGGCCAAAGCACCUUGGACUGUCGGGUCAUAUGCUGCUAACCACUGAUCUCCUUCAAGAUGCUGAAAGUGGAUGGCAGAGUAAUAAAGUGGAUCAUCUCAACUUCUUCAGGGAUGCUCCCAGAGACAUCUCAUUUAACAAAUUGUACAUGUCAAUUGAAUGAUCCUGCUUAUUGCCUUAGAAGACUCCUUAUAGGCAUCUUAUUCCUUAGUUAAACGCCCUCUUGGUACUGUGUGGUAAGGCCUUAUUUGAAAUCACUACUAGGAAGCUUCUUCUCCCAAUAAAAGCCGGUGAAGGGAGCCAGAUGGUUCAAUUCUAAGCA